rnacentral:rRNA from 1 species
GACGAACGCUGGCGGCGUGCUUAACACAUGCAAGUCGAACGGAAAGGCCCUGCUUUUGUGGGGUGCUCGAGUGGCGAACGGGUGAGUAACACGUGAGUAACCUGCCCUUGACUUUGGGAUAACUUCAGGAAACUGGGGCUAUUAUCGGAUAGGAGCUCCUGCUGCAUGGUGGGUGUUGGAAAGUUUCGGCGGUUGGGGAUGGACUCGCGGCUUAUCAGCUUGCUGGUGGGGUAGUGGCUUACCAAGGCUUUGACGGGUAGCCGGCCUGAGAGGGUGAACGGCCACAUUGGGACUGAGAUACGGCCCAGAGUCCUACGGGAGGCAGCAGUGGGGAAUAUUGCACAAUGGGCGGAAGCCUGAUGCAGCAACGCCGCGUGCGGGAUGACGGCCUUCGGGUUGUAAACCGCUUUCGCCUGUGACGAAGCGUGAGUGACGGUAAUGGGUAAAGAAGCACCGGCUAACUACGUG